AGCGAACGCUGGCGGCAGGCCUAACACAUGCAAGUCGAACGAAGUCUUCGGACUUAGUGGCGGACGGGUGAGUAACACGUGGGAACGUGCCUUUAGGUUCGGAAUAACUCAGGGAAACUUGUGCUAAUACCGAAUGUGCCCUUCGGGGGAAAGAUUUAUCGCCUUUAGAGCGGCCCGCGUCUGAUUAGCUAGUGGGUGAGGUAAAGGCUCACCAAGGCGACGAUCAGUAGCUGGUCUGAGAGGAUGAUCAGCCACAUUGGGACUGAGACACGGCCCAAUCUCCUACGGGAGGCGGCAGUGGGGAAUCUUGCGCAACGGGCGAAAGCCUGACGCAGCCAUGCCGCGUGAAUGAUGAAGGUCUUAGGAUUGUAAAAUUCUUUCACCGGGGACGAUAAUGACUGUAGCCGGAGAAGAAGCCCCGGCUAACUUCGUGCCAGCAGCCGCGGUAAUAC
rnacentral:rRNA from 1 species